ACACCAAAAAAAAAAAUCAGGAGCAAAAAUACCGCAGAUGUGCUGGAAAUCUGCAACGAUCACCGAAGUGGCUGGGAAACACGCAGCAGCAGGACAACACGUCGCGAGUGGAGUGGGACAAAGACACUGAAUGAGGAGAAAGUUUUUUUGGCGUGAGGAAAGACAGGACAACAAGAGGGCCCCUGGUUUGGGGUUAGCUUCUGCUGUGACAGGUUACGGAGGCGAGGACAGAUCAGCGCGACUCGAACCACGGCGGGAACUGAAGAAAAAAUGAUGCGAAGAAGCUUCAAAGCGAGAGAGACAGAAGAGAGCGAAGCGACUGG